UACGUAGGGGGCAAGCGUUAUUCGGAAUUACUGGGCGUAAAGCGUGCGCAGGCGGCUAUGCAAGUCAGAUGUGAAAUCCCCGGGCUCAACCUGGGAACUGCAUUUGUGACUGCAUGGCUAGAGUACGGUAGAGGGGGAUGGAAUUCCGCGUGUAGCAGUGAAAUGCGUAGAUAUGCGGAGGAACACCGAUGGCGAAGGCAAUCCCCUGGACCUGUACUGACGCUCAUGCACGAAAGCGUGGGGAGCAAACAGG
rnacentral:rRNA from 1 species